CAGCCGCCGCGGUAAUACGUAGGGUGCGAGCGUUAAUCGGAAUUACUGGGCGUAAAGCGGGCGCAGACGGUUACUUAAGCAGGAUGUGAAAUCCCCGGGCUCAACCUGGGAACUGCGUUCUGAACUGGGUGACUAGAGUGUGUCAGAGGGAGGUAGAAUUCCACGUGUAGCAGUGAAAUGCGUAGAGAUGUGGAGGAAUACCGAUGGCGAAGGCAGCCUCCUGGGAUAACACUGACGUUCAUGCCCGAAAGCGUGGGUAGCAAACAGGAUUAGAUACCCCUGUAGUCCCUGUCUCUUAUAA
rnacentral:rRNA from 1 species